GUGUCAGCAGCCGCGGUAAUACAGAGGCCACAAACGUUAGGCGGAAUCACUGGGCUUAAAGCGUGUGUAGGCGGACCGUUAAGUGCUUUGUGAAAUCCCACGGCUCAACCGUGGAAUGGCUUGGCAUACUGGCGGUCUUGAGCCACCUAGGGGCAACUGGAACAAGCGGUGGAGCGGUGAAAUGCGUAGAUAUCGCUUGGAACGCCAAAGGUGAAAACAGGUUGCUGGGGGUGUGCUGACGCUGAGACACGAAAGCCAGGGGAGCAAACGGGAUUAGAUACCCUUGUAGUCC
rnacentral:rRNA from 1 species